rnacentral:rRNA from 1 species
UUUGGAGGGCAAGUCUGGUGCCAGCAGCCGCGGUAAUUCCAGCUCCAAUAGCGUAUAUUAAAGUUGUUGCAGUUAAAAAGCUCGUAGUUGAACUUCGGGAUCAAUGGAUUGGUCAUGCCGAUGGUAUGUACUGGUCAUAUUGGUUCUCACCUUCUAAGGAACCAUAAUGUCAUUUAUUUGAUGUUGUGGGGAAUUAGGACUGUUACCUUGAAAAAAUUAGAGUGUUUAAAGCAGGCUAACGCUUGAAUACAUUAGCAUGGAAUAAUGAAAUAGGACAUCGCAUUCUAUUUUGUUGGUUUCUAGGAUCGAUGUAAUGAUUAAUAGGGAUAGUUGGGGGCAUUAGUAUUCAAUUGUCAGAGGUGAAAUUCUUGGAUUUAUUGAAGACUAACUACUGCGAAAGCAUUUGCCAAGGAUGUUUUCAUUAAUCAAGAACGAAAGUUAGGGGAUCGAAGACGAUCAGAUACCGUCAUAGUCUUAACCAUAAACUAUGCCGACUAGGGAUCGGAUGAUGUUGAUUUUUUAAUGACUCAUUCGGCGCCUUACGGGAAACA